rnacentral:ncRNA from 2 species
AGAACGAUAUCGGGAGAGAUCGCUGGCCUUGUUGAUAGGUGCAGCGACGCCGAAGGAGCAACCGCCCCGGAAACUCUCAGGCAAAUGGACCGGUAUCGAUCA